AACGUAGGAGACAAACGUUAUCCGGAGUUACUGGGCGUAAAGGGCGUGUAGGUGGUUUCGUAAGUCUGGCGUGAAAUUUUUCGGCUUAACCGGGAAAGGUCGUCGGAUACUGCGGAACUAGAGGACGGUAGAGGCGUGUGGAAUUCCGGGAUGUAGUGGUGAAAUGCGUAGAGAUCCGGAGGAACACCGAUGGCGAAGGCAAUCCCCUGGGCCUGCACUGACGCUCAUGCACGAAAGCGUGGGGAGCAAACAGGG
rnacentral:rRNA from 1 species